GAUAAUGAUCCGAUGGAUAUGAUAUUGUGAUGGCGCAGUCAGUACUAUGGUGGGGGACCACAUGGGAAUACUGCGUGUCGUAAUUU
rfam:Neocallimastix californiae strain G1 LY90scaffold_962, whole genome shotgun sequence.